rnacentral:rRNA from 1 species
CGAACGCUGGCGGCGUGCCUAAUACAUGCAAGUCGAACGCUUCUUUCCUACCGAGUGCUUGCACUCACUUGGAAAGAGGAGUGGCGGACGGGUGAGUAACACGUGGGUAACCUACCCAUCAGAGGGGGAUAACACUUGGAAACAGGUGCUAAUACCGCAUAACAGUUUACACCGCCUGGUGUAAAAGUGAAAGGCGCUUUCGGGUGUCGCUGAUGGAUGGACCCGGCGGUGCAUUAGCUAGUUGGUGAGGUAACGGCUCACCAAGGCGAUGAUGCAUAGCCGACCUGAGAGGGUGAUCGGCCACACUGGGACUAGAGACACGGCCCAGACUCCUACGGGAGGCAGCAGUAGGGAAUCUUCGGCAAUGGACGAAAGUCUGACCGAGCAACGCCGCGUGAGUGAAGAAGGUUUUCGGAUCGUAAAACUCUGUUGUUAGAGAAGAACAAGGACGUAAGUAACUGUACGUCCCCUGACGGUAUCUAACCAGAAAGCCACGGCUAACUACGUGCCAGAAGCCACGGUAAUACGUACGUGCCAGCAGCCGCGGUAAUACGUAGGUGGCAAGCGUUGUCCGGAUUUAUUGGGCGUAAAGCGAGCGCAGGCGGUUUCUUAAGUCUGAUGUGAAAGCCCCCGGCUCAACCGGGGAGGGUCAUUGGAAACUGGGAGACUUGAGUGCAGAAGAGGAGAGUGGAAUUCCAUGUGUAGCGGUGAAAUGCGUAGAUAUAUGGAAGAACACCAGUGGCGAAGGCGGCUCUCUGGUCUGUAACUGACGCUGAGGCUCGAAAGCGUGGGGAGCAAACAGGAUUAGAUACCCUGGUAGUCCACGCCGUAAACGAUGAGUGCUAAGUGUUGGAGGGUUUCCGCCCUUCAGUGCUGCAGCAAACGCAUUAAGCACUCCGCCUGGGGAGUACGACCGCAAGGUUGAAACUCAAAGGAAUUGACGGGGGCCCGCACAAGCGGUGGAGCAUGUGGUUUAAUUCGAAGCAACGCGAAGAACCUUACCAGGUCUUGACAUCCUUUGACCACUCUAGAGAUAGAGCUUUCCCUUCGGGGACAAAGUGACAGGUGGUGCAUGGUUGUCGUCAGCUCGUGUCGUGAGAUGUUGGGUUAAGUCCCGCAACGAGCGCAACCCUUAUUGUUAGUUGCCAUCAUUUAGUUGGGCACUCUAGCGAGACUGCCGGUGACAAACCGGAGGAAGGUGGGGAUGACGUCAAAUCAUCAUGCCCCUUAUGACCUGGGCUACACACGUGCUACAAUGGGAAGUACAACGAGACGCUAGACCGCGAGGUCAUGCAAAUCUCUGUAAAGCUUCUCUCGGUUCGAAUUGCAGGCUGCAACUCGCCUGCAUGAAGCCGGAAUCGCUAGUAAUCGCGGAUCAGCACGCCGCAGGUGAAUACGUUCCCGGGCCUUGUACACACCGCCCGUCACACCACGAGAGUUUGUAACACCCGAAGUCGGUGAGGUAACCUUUUUGGAGCCAGCCGCCUAAGGUGGGAUAGA